rnacentral:rRNA from 1 species
UCGGGUUGUAAAGCACUUUUGUCCGGAAAGAAAUCCUCUGGGUUAAUACCUCGGGGGGAUGACGGUACCGGAAGAAUAAGCACCGGCUAACUACGUGCCAGCAGCCGCGGUAAUACGUAGGGUGCGAGCGUUAAUCGGAAUUACUGGGCGUAAAGCGUGCGCAGGCGGUUCGCUAAGACCGAUGUGAAAUCCCCCGGGCUUAACCUGGGAACUGCAUUGGUGACUGGCGGGCUAGAGUAUGGCAGAGGGGGGGUAGAGUUUCCACGUGUAGCAGUGAAAUGCGUAGAGAUGUGGAGGAAUACCGAUGGCGAAGGCAGCCCCUGGGCCAAUACUGACGCUCAUGCACGAAAGCGUGGGGAGCAAACAGGAUUAGAUACCCUGGUAGUCCACGCCCUAAACGAUGUCAACUAGUUGUCGGGUCUUCAUUGACUUGGUAACGAAGCUAACGCGUGAAGUUGACCGCCUGGGAAGUACGGUCGCAAGAUUAAAACUCAAAGGAAUUGACGGGGACCCGCACAAGCGGUGGAUGAUGUGGAUUAAUUCGAUGCAACGCGAAAAACCUUACCUACCCUUGACAUGUACGGAACCUUGCUG